rnacentral:rRNA from 1 species
UACGAAGGGGGCUAGCGUUGCUCGGAAUCACUGGGCGUAAAGCGCACGUAGGCGGCUUUUUAAGUCAGGGGUGAAAUCCUGGAGCUCAACUCCAGAACUGCCUUUGAUACUGAGAAGCUUGAGUCCGGGAGAGGUGAGUGGAACUGCGAGUGUAGAGGUGAAAUUCGUAGAUAUUCGCAAGAACACCAGUGGCGAAGGCGGCUCACUGGCCCGGUACUGACGCUGUGGUGCGAAAGCGUGGGGAGCAAACAGG